rnacentral:other from 1 species
GAUUCCCUGCCGUGCUCGUUAGGAUGAAUGAUGUUUGGUGAACCAAUACCAAGAACACGGGAGUCUUGCUCUUUCGACGCCUUGGCGCCGGAAGGAUCGCUCCCAACCUGGAAAAUGGGUUCAACCCGUCAUUUGUCCAACGGCACAAGGCGGGGUUUUU